GCACGUGUAGCUCAAGGUAGAGCAGUCGAUCUAUAAUCGACAGGUUGGCGGUUCAAGUCCGCCCGCGUGCA
rnacentral:tRNA from 1 species